CGCUAAGCUGAAGGUAUGACCUCAAGCAGGCUAUGUUAGUAAACAUGUAAUAGUGUAAAGGACACUGCAGAUGAGAUUCGCAUCGUUUAUGGGAUUGAUACUACGACUAUUAGAAUCGAAGAAAUUUAGAGCUGGCAAUUUUGAUUUGAAAAAGAUGAAGACCGCAGCAGCCGCCCAGGAACGACAGAUACGGACCUCAUCAAGAAUAUGCUCGCUGAAAAUCCGCAAGAUAGUGGAUGCCACUAAAAUUCCCAGGACAACGGUACAUGAUCAUUUAAUCAAGAUGGGAUAUAUGAAUUGGUAAAGUUUGAAAUUUCACGCCAAUUAACAGAGACCAACCUUAUGAACCACAUUUCUACGUGCGAUCUGCUUCUUUAGCAAUAUGAAAAAAAUCCUUUUUUAAAGAUCCUCGUCACUGGAAAUGAGAUUUGGAUUUUAUAUCAAAAUGUGCAUUUUCAAUGCACAUUGGUCUAAGGAAAAUCGACCUUCAACUGUUGUGAAGCUAGGAUUUCAUCCAAAAAAAGAAAAAGAAAAACUUAUGGGACACCUUAAUAUAUAUACACACACAUACAACGUAUAAAAAGAAAUUAUAUUAUUCUGUUAUACCAGUUCGACAAGCCUAUCGAUUUUCUUUCGUCAUUUCGCUUAGUCGAAUAUAAAAAAGGAAACAUCGCAAUGGAGGAUUCAGCGAACAAAAUCAAAUGGAUUGUCAAUUGAAAAUACAAACUGAAAUGAUCAGAUCAAAGGUAAAGAAAGUGGCGCAAUAAAAAGCGAAAGCUUCAAAAUCAAAAUCAAUUUAUCCUCCAACUUUUGAAAUGGUAAUUGUCGCCAUUAAAAGAGUUGAAAGAUCGUAAAGGUUCAAGCAAUUAGAAAAUAUGUUGUAGCAACUUAUACUAGUUGACGGUAAAAAGAUAUAACGCCGUUUAUAAAGAAAUAUUUGAAGAAUGCUGUAUCUAAUUGUACGGUCGUGCAAACCAGAGAUAAGGGAGAUUCAGGAUCGUUUAAAAGCUUUCACCCGUGGUAAAAAGCGGUAAUGUAAAAGCAAAGGAAAAACGCAUUACCAAAGGAAAAGAAGACUAUUAUCGACAAAUCUAUUGAAAAGAAGAUAAGUGACAGCUCACAAGACAUCAAUAAGUUUCGUUAAAAAACCUGUCGAUAAAAACAGGUCUUCUGAAGUUGUUACUAAAAACAAUUCUAAAGCUUUUACCAUUGUUGCUACUGCUAUUGCUGCUGUCGCUAAAAAAAAAAAAAAAGAUUUCGGAAAAAACGGCACAACCGAGAGAACUCUA